rnacentral:lncRNA from 10 species
AAGAUAAGCUAAUAACUUUGGACACAAUUUCACUCCUCUGCAUUCACCAAAUGUCCAAUUACAUAUCCUCCCUGCCUGGACCUUCAGAACAAUAUAAAACUGAAUGAAGGCUAUGAAAGAAGUCACAGGAGGAUUUUUGCAGAGCUUCCAUCCAGUUCAGAAACAAAGCAAUUCAAUACAUGUCUUCAAGAUUUCUAAAGGCAAUGACUUAAUUCUAAGUUCCAUGAAAGCAGGCAUUGUGUGAAUUUCUCCUGCAUCUGGAACUGGCCUAGCACACCAAAUGGAGUCUCACUCUGUCUCCCACGCUGGAGUGCCUCUGAAUGCUGUUUUAGCCAUGGUUCUGGAGAGGGUAGCGACAGGAGCUGUCUAGGUGGGAUCCAGAGGAAAGUACGAAUGAGCAGAAGGUGUUGAAAAGCUAAUUCACAGCUCCCCAGCUGCCUACUUGUGGGGACAGCUUUCUUCGGCUGCAGGCAGUAAUUGCUUUACUGCUAUCCUAAAUUGCCCUGGAGAAGAAAGCAAAGCUUUGCUUGCUUUAUCCUGUGGAUUUAAAGCAGUGCCUAUACUUGCUCUGCAUAGAAG